rnacentral:rRNA from 1 species
UGAGUACGAGAUGCUACGGCAUCGAAGCAGUCUAUGUCAUACUUCCAAAAAAAGCUUGCACUGUCAUAAACAAAUAAUGCCUGUACCAUAACCGACACAGGUGGGUAGGUAGAGUAUACUAAGGGGCGCGAGAUAACUCUCUCUAAGGAACUCGGCAAAAUGACCCCGUAACUUCGGGAGAAGGAGUGCCUUAUUUAUAAGGUUGCAAUAACAAGAUCCAAGCAACUGUUUAUCAAAAACACAGGUCUCCGCUAAGUCGUAAGACGAUGUAUGGGGGCUGACGCCUGCCCAGUGCCAGAAGGUUAAAGAAGUUGGUUAGCAUUAGCGAAGCUGAUAACUGAAGCCCUGGUGAACGGCGGCCGCAACAAUAACGGUCCUAAGGUAGCGAAAUUCCUUGUCGGGUAAGUUCCGACCCGCACGAAAGGCGUAAUGAUUUGGAUACUGUCUCGGAGAGGGGCUCGGUGAAAUAGACUUGUCUGUGAAGAUGCGGACUACCUGCACCAGGACAGAAAGACCCUAUGAAGCUUUACUGUAACUUGAAAUUGAAAUUGGACUUUAUUUGCGCAGUAUAGGUGGGAGGCGUUGAAAAUAUUCUUGCGGGAAUAUGGGAGCCAUCAGUGAGAUACCACUCUUGUAAUGUUAGAUUUCUAACUUUGUAUCAUUAUCUGGUCAAAGAACAGUUUCAGGCGGGCAGUUUGACUGGGGCGGUCGCCUCCCAAAUGGUAACGGAGGCGCACAAAGGUUUCCUCUGAACGGGUAGAAAUCGUAUCUAGAGUGUAAAGGCAUAAGGAAGCUUGACUGUGAGACCUACAAGUCGAGCAGGGACGAAAGUCGGUCUUAGUGAUCUGACGGUGCUGAGUGGAAAGGCCGUCACUCAACGGAUAAAAGUUACUCUAGGAUAACAGGCUGAUCUCCCCCAAGAGUUCACAUCGACGGGGAGGUUUGGCACCUCGAUGUCGGCUCAUCGCAUCCUGGGGCGGUAGUACGUCCCAAGGGUUGGGCUGUUCGCCCAUGAAAGCGGUACGCGAGCUGGGUUCAGAACGUCGUGAGACAGUUCGGUCCAUAUCCGGUGUAGGCGUUAGAAUAUUGAGAGGAGCCUUCUUUAGUACGAGAGGACCGAGAAGGACAUACCUCUGGUGUACCAGUUAUCGUGCCAACGGUAAACGCUGGGUAGCCAUGUGUGGAGAGGAUAACCGCUGAAAGCAUCUAAGUGGGAAGCCCACCUCAAGAUAAGUAUUCUCGU